UACAGAGGUCCCGAGCGUUGUUCGGAUUUAUUGGGCGUAAAGAGCUCGUAGGCGGUGUGUCGCGUCGGCCGUGAAAACCUGCAGCUUAACUGUGGGCUUGCGGUCGAUACGGGCAUCACUGGAGUUCGGCAGGGGAGACUGGAAUUCCUGGUGUAGCGGUGAAAUGCGCAGAUAUCAGGAGGAACACCGGUGGCGAAGGCGGGUCUCUGGGCCGAUACUGACGCUGAGGAGCGAAAGCUAGGGUAGCGAACGGG
rnacentral:rRNA from 1 species